rnacentral:rRNA from 1 species
ACGAACGCUGGCGGCGUGCUUAACACAUGCAAGUCGAACGGAAAGGCCUUGCUUUUGUGGGGUGCUCGAGUGGCGAACGGGUGAGUAACACGUGAGUAACCUGCCCUUGACUUUGGGAUAACUUCAGGAAACUGGGGCUAAUACCGGAUAGGAGCUCCUGCUGCAUGGUGGGGGUUGGAAAGUUUCGGCGGUUGGGGAUGGACUCGCGGCUUAUCAGCUUGUUGGUGGGGUAGUGGCUUACCAAGGCUUUGACGGGUAGCCGGCCUGAGAGGGUGACCGGCCACAUUGGGACUGAGAUACGGCCCAGACUCCUACGGGAGGCAGCAGUGGGGAAUAUUGCACAAUGGGCGGAAGCCUGAUGCAGCAACGCCGCGUGCGGGAUGACGGCCUUCGGGUUGUAAACCGCUUUCGCCUGUGACGAAGCGUGAGUGACGGUAAUGGGUAAAGAAGCACCGGCUAACUACGUG